GUAGCAACUUUAAAUUUGCACCAUAUUUAGACGAAAGCUGACUCUAAUGAUGAGGUGGGUUUCAUGAAAAUCACCCAGAAUCCUGAUUUUUGACAGCUUCCUAAACAUCAGGAUCAAAAUGAUUUGCGAGAUGUGGCCCUUCUUGUACUGUUGUCUUUUACGGCUCAUUCCUCCUCAAGUAGACUAGACCUCAACACCCGGGUAUCAAAAAUGGAUAAAGGAAACUUUGCCUAAACGGCAUGGAUUUUCGUGAUUUGGACGCUCUUUCAUUGUCUUCCACAACCAGGCCAACUACGAAGAUCCUCCUGAGCACAAUCUAACGAAGAAACCCCACCGAAGACUUAUUGUAAUUGUACCGAGUAACAGCUUAAAUGUCAAAAAUUAAAAAACUUUGCAUUAAUUUGCACAAUUUGACCAUGGA